UGUGAUCGGUUCACCUUAAAAAUUAUUUUGGUCUGCGAAUUUUAAGAAAACAGGUUCGGGAGCCAGUUACGCACGAGGAAGGGUUAGCACCCUCGUAACGCCCAAAAUCGGUACCAAAUUGAUUAUUAGAUGUCUUAGUGUCGAAAGUUUAAAAAAAAUUAAAAUAAGUUUGAAUGAUGAAAUUUGCAAAAGGAUAAUCAAUUGUUCAAGUCAUGUAAAGAAAUCGAGUCC
rnacentral:lncRNA from 1 species